GAGACCACAUCACGUUGAAACACCAGUUCCCGUACGAUCAGCGAAGUUAAGCAACGUCGUGUCUGGUCAGUACUUUGAUGGGUGACUACCAGG